rnacentral:rRNA from 1 species
UGAGGACAGUGCCUGGUGGGUAGUUUGACUGGGGCGGUCUCCUCCCAAAGAGUAACGGAGGAGCACGAAGGUGGGCUAAUCACGGUUGGACAUCGUGAGGUUAGUGCAAUGGCAUAAGCCCGCUUAACUGCGAGAAUGACGGUUCGAGCAGGUGCGAAAGCAGGUCAUAGUGAUCCGGUGGUUCUGUAUGGAAGGGCCAUCGCUCAACGGAUAAAAGGUACUCCGGGGAUAACAGGCUGAUACCGCCCAAGAGUUCAUAUCGACGGCGGUGUUUGGCACCUCGAUGUCGGCUCAUCACAUCCUGGGGCUGAAGUCGGUCCCAAGGGUAUGGCUGUUCGCCAUUUAAAGUGGUACGCGAGCUGGGUUUAGAACGUCGUGAGACAGUUCGGUCCCUAUCUGCCGUGGGCGUUGGAAGAUUGAAGGGAGCUGCUCCUAGUACGAGAGGACCGGAGUGGACGA